GAGCAAAGAUGUUAAUCAUGCCCACUUGUUAUAAAUGUAGUAAACCCGAGCUCCAUUUAGAACUUUUGUAAAAAUAUCUCUUAAGUACUCCCCAGCCUUGACAUGUAUCGUUUAGAUAAUCUUCUGCUGAAUCUUUUCACGAACGAAAUAACAGUCAAUCUCUAUAUAUUUAGUUCGCUUAUGAAAUCCUAUAUUAGAAGCAAUCUGGAGAGCAACUUAGUUAUCACACCACAACUGAGCAAGUAGAGAUGUCUUAAGACUAACCUCAUCCAAUAAUUGAAG
rnacentral:misc_RNA from 1 species